UACGUAGGGUGCAAGCGUUGUCCGGAAUUAUUGGGCGUAAAGAGCUUGUAGGCGGUUUGUCGCGUCUGCUGUGAAAUUUCGGGGCUCAACCCCGAACUUGCAGUGGGUACGGGCAGACUAGAGUGUGGUAGGGGAGACUGGAAUUCCUGGUGUAGCGGUGAAAUGCGCAGAUAUCAGGAGGAACACCGAUGGCGAAGGCAGCUGCCUGGCCUAACACUGACGCUGAGGUGCGAAAGCGUGGGGAGCGAACGGG
rnacentral:rRNA from 1 species